UUAGCGAAUCUACCAUCCAUUCACGAGGUUUAGAUAUUUCUUGUCCCCUUUUGGUGCUUGGAUGUUGUUGUGGUGAGAUUUGGGAGAGUAAGGUUCUCUAAUAAUAUUAUGAUACCGCAUCAACAUUUCAUGUAUCUUCGUGCAAUUAGCCUACUCUUUUCUUCGUUGCUCUUCAGCUCCGUUUAGUCGUCUAAUUUUAUACAUCGAUGAUGAUGACGAC
rnacentral:lncRNA from 1 species